AUUUCUCCCAUCACCUGUCUCUCUGCCCAGAAGCCCAAAGGGAGCCUUUCCUCCCCCCCCCCCGCCCCAGAGUAAGGUGAGGGGUUCACAGGGGAUGUGAGAAAUCAAGGAAGACCUCAUAGGGGAGGUGGUAUUUGGAGUUGACCUGGGUGAGAAGGAAAUGAAUUCCAGGCAUGCAAAGACAGAGAUGGGAGAUAGAACAUUGUGAACAAGAAAUAGGCUGAUUUGCAUAAGGGUUGCAGUUUGGGCACUUGGUCUCUAAAAGGUUCACCAUCACCCUUGCUGAAGGGUCCUUGACAUUUUCUAGCUUGUUGUUGCCCUCCUAACCUCACAAAUUAGUAUUUAUUGGGAACCAUCAAACCCUCCAUAUUGGCUAUUUCUUUUUCAACCUCUAUUGUUGUUUGACCGUCAGUUUUUGAGAAGGACUAAUGACAUCUUGACUUGCAUUUGAAUUGAAGUGAAGUGAGGCAGUGUUGCCCAAAGUCGUCAGCCUUGCUCUCUUGAAGUUGGGGGGCAGGACAAAAGUCAGCCUCUGUCAACUGGAGUUGGGAAAACUAGAAAAUAAGUUUUUCUGAGUGCUAAUUGAGUGCUAACCAAUAUGUUCCACUCUAAGCUUUCCAAACCUCCUCAUUUCUUUCCCAGAGACAAAUUCAGCAGUUGAGGGCCCCCACCUGGGAGCUCCCAGUCAUGAGAUCCCUCGGAACCACAAGCCCUGAGUCAGCCAGGCUCUGAUGAACAAACACUCUCUCUUGACAGACCUCCAGUUCUGGGAUCUCACGCCCACUGGCCAUGAGACCGUGGGCAACUUUUACAAGAAAAUCUUCAUUUUCAGGGAUUCUGCUGUCAUGGAAAUAGCAGUUUUGGAGAAAAAGAUACUGGCGUGGCUUGGCUUUUCCUUCCCUGGUUCAUUUUAUAAAUAAAGAAACUGAGGCAAACAGGCUGGAGUGACUUGCCCAGGGUCGCAUGUCUGGUGUCUGAGGCUGGAUUUGAACUCGGGAAGUCUUCUUGACUCCAGUGGAGCACCCAGUAGGAUACCAGCUGCUCCACGAAGUUGCACACAAAUAGCCACUCAUUUUUUCUCUAUUGCUCAGAGCCUUGAAUGUUCAAGGUUGCCCAUGCUAAUGUGAACAUGAGGUUAUUAAUAAAAUUAUGGGAUGUAAAACCCA
rnacentral:lncRNA from 1 species